ensembl:snRNA U6 U6 spliceosomal RNA
GUGCUUGUUCCCACAGCACAUACACUAAAAUCGGAAUGAUAAAGAGAUCAGCAGGACCCAUGCAGAAGGAUGGCUUGCAAAUUCGUGAGGCAUUCCACAUUUUG